rnacentral:misc_RNA from 1 species
GGGAAGUUUCUUUUUCCACCGAUUUAUUUAGAAUCAACAUCCUGUCACCAUCAACAUAACAAGCCAAUGAUGCAACUUAAACAGGAAAUAAGAAUGGCCAUCAGAACAACAAACAAAAAAUCCGUCAAGUUUACCACUCAAAAUGUGAGGCAGAUUAGAACUGCUAGACUAGGAUGUACUUCCAAAAGCAGAAUGAUCCAAUCACAAGUGUAAAAACUGACAACCAGAGUAAUAUUUAUGCUUCAGGGCGGGUUUUGACGAUGAAAUUCUGGCGACUGAUGGGGUUCAUGACCACUGGUGGACCGGCAGUACGAGGCCAUGCUUGGAAUUUCUUG